rnacentral:rRNA from 1 species
GACGAACGCUGGCGGCGUGCUUAACACAUGCAAGUCGAACGGAAAGGCCCUGCUUUUGUGGGGUGCUCGAGUGGCGAACGGGUGAGUAACACGUGAGUAACCUGCCCUUGACUUUGGGAUAACUUCAGGAAACUGGGGCUAAUACCGGAUAGGAGCUCCUGCUGCAUGGUGGGGGUUGGAAAGUUUCGGCGGUUGGGGAUGGACUCGCGGCUUAUCAGCUUGUUGGUGGGGUAGUGGCUUACCAAGGCUUUGACGGGUAGCCGGCCUGAGAGGGUGACCGGCCACAUGGGGACUGGGAUACGGCCCAGACUCCUCCGGGAGGCAGCAGGGGGGAAUAUUGCACAAGGGGCGGAGGCCUGAUGCAGCAACGCCGCGUGCGGGAUGAGGGCCUUCGGGUUGUAACCGCUUUCGCCUGUGACGAAGCGUGAGUGACGGUAAUGGGUAAAGAAGCACCGGCUAACUACGUG